AUCAUGUGCUUUUCUGGGGCAAAGCACAGCCCUGGGGUGGUUUAUAGCAGGUUCUGGAAAAUAUAUUUCUGGAGCCUCUUCCCAAGGAAGUUAGUGCUUUUUUGGUGGCUGUAUAGACUGUUCAGAAGGAGUAAGGCAUAGCUGUGUGUCUUUGUGUGGUUGUGAGGUGUGCAUCUGUCCUACCUAGGAGCCCUGUGUUAGGUUUUGGGCCUGAUCUCAGGCACUGAGGGGAGAGGACCAACAAUGUGCAAAGCUGUAGUCAAGCUGAAAGGCUUCUGAUAUUCAGGAGGACUACAUAACUUCACUAUUCAACCUAUAAGAAUAGUGGAAGAAAACUGAUGCAUUUGAUGCAGUACCUGUGUUCUCUAGUGCCUUGGUUGAAGUGCAGAAGUCUUCGUGUCCUUCUGCUGUGCCUGUGCAAGAAGUAUAUGCUCAUGUAGCCUUUUGACACGUAAGACAGGAACCUCUGGAAGGAUCAGACCAUGCAGUUCAGGAAGACUUGGAAACACUUUUUAAUUAAACAAAAAAGAGCUGCCCUGUUAGCAUGUGCGUGGUGUGGUACAGGAUUAGAAAGAAAACCUGAUGCAUUGUACCAAUUAGUCAGACUGAUUUAUCUAUUGUUUGUGCUAUAAGCUGUGCAUAGUUAUUUGCUUAUGAGUACUGGCUCAAAGCCUUGGUCCUUCUCGCAAAGCCAUUAAAGUCAUUAGUUGAGGUCUUAUUGAUUUGAACAAGACCAAGGCUUGACUCAUUGUGUCUAUCCAGAGGACACCAAUAAACUUUUAAAUCAGUCAAGGCUGUAGACUCAUUCUGCUGGGGUCAUACGGUUAAUACAUCCUGUUCCUGUCAUUUCCGCUAUAAAUCUGUGAAUGCUUUUAAAACAAGAGGAAAACUUGAUUCCCUUCCUUUUGCGAGAAAAUAUUAUGUUCCCUUUUAUUACAACGAAGAUGGGGGUCCUUUUCCUGAGGAGAGCUUGUAAUGGGAAAGGUAAUAUCAAUACAUUCCAUUGUUUCUGGAGUCAGUGAAAAGUAAUUAGAGAUAAAGAAAUGAGUCACAGGUCUCCUAACUGCAAUGCAAAGUUUCUCCCACUGAUUUCCCAUAAGCCUUUGCUGGGCACU